CCAUGGUUAGCCAAGCUAAAUAAGGAACCAUCAAAUAAGCUGCUGUUUUGCUGAUGUUAUACCAGGAAGCAGUUGUAGCUGUUGCAGUACCAGUCGUGAGCAGCAGAGUCACCAGCCCCUGGAACACCAGGAAGGUGUUUCAGGGAGAAAAAAUUAUAACACAAAACUUGUGUUUUAACACAUUACAAGUGACUGCAGAAUCGUAUACUGAGGAGACUUCGUUAUCCACUUACCCAUCCCAUUUUGUGAGUUCCAAAAAAUAUUGGAGUCCAUGCCCAGUUUAAUGCUAGCUGCCCUGCAUACAGGCCCAGAGGAACCACUGACUUUUCAUUGAAGCCUCCCAAUUCCUUCCAUACCAGGUAAGAGCCAUAUCUAAAAAAAAAAAAAGCAAAUGUAAGGGGUAAUUCAAUACACAGGUUAGAAAGCAACCACGUAUUCUUAAUCAAAUCAAAUUGCUUCAGUGUCAGAAACUAAAUUAAUUUGGUUUUGGCACUACUUGACAGAAUCAAUGACUGCGCAGGUUUGAUCAUCUGUUGCAGACAGCAAGAUGGAGGGAGGAAAAAUUCCCCUGUUCUGCCAGAGUUCUUAUUUCUAGGUAUGGAGGAGCAGAUGACCUACUGCAUUUAAGUCUUAAAAGAGAAUGCUUCCAUUUCAACACAGCAAAUCUUAAGACUCGAAGAUAAAAGAUAUUUCAAUACACAUGACUGCAGAACCAUUCCAAGAGACAAGAGUCCCGUGGACAAAAUGCCAACACCUCAAAUUAUACUCUUGUUUCAGAAUUAAAAACUGAAUACAGAGUCCAUCUUGGUAGGAGUCCAGUAGGCAUGUGAACUGGACUGUGCACUUUGCUGGACAGCGGGGGCUCAUACGUAUUUCUACUGGUAAUGGAGCAAAAAUGGAUACCAACUCUUAAGCAUUAUUUCCUUAAGGAGCAGACAAACACUUGUAGGAGUGUUCAAUAAUACGGAUAUUUUGGGUCUGACCAAGUUGGUGACCAAACCUUGCUUCUUGACCACUUCUUUCACAAUAAGUAGACAAUGCAACUCUGGUAUCCUGGCAGUUUGACUACAGAGAAUAUUUAAAACACAUAUUCUUUUUGGGAGAGAAGGAUGAGCAACUUAAUGGUUUCUCUUUGUAAAAGGCAUCAGGACCAAAGUCAGUUUCUAAGUGACUUAACACAGCUACAGUGUGGAUUCAGAGUUGUUGAUACAUCUAACUUUGACUAAAGGCAAAGCUCGUCGUGCACAAAUUUAUUUGGGAACUAAACAUCAAAGAAAAGCAUGGAAGCUUAUUAAACCUUGCUUUUUGUUAGAAUCUGUUGAAUGUAUUAAAAGCAAGAAAUAACUAAAGGAACCAGGAGUCUUGAUUGUUCCAAGGAAUGUGUGUACAGGACAGAUUAUGGAAAAAAAAUGCCUGACAAUAAAUACGCCUUUUCACUGAGUUAGAUGUAUAUAUAGUACAUAACCAAGUCCAUCAAUCUGCUUCUGGUAUUUCCAAAGUAAGCUGAUAAACUGUCACAAUCAGGAUUUUUAAAAGAUUUAAUUUAGUGUCCAGAUUUAGUGAUGAGAAAUCAGGAAACAGGCUUAUGAGCUGUGCAGUCAACUUGAAGAAGGCCCUUCAUGGGAAAGUGAUUUUUUUUUCUUGUUUCUUUUUUAUCCCCAUGACAGUAACGCUCCAAUUCAAAUAUUAACUCUCUGAAUAUACAAAAGAAAAGAGCUAUUAAAAAAGACACGCUGUAAGAGAGCCAAUUUAACAUCCAGGUACAGAUUGUAGCCUAAAAAUUAAUACUAUGGGUUUAAAAACUAUGCAUAUUUGAUAGCUAGGAAAAAAAAAAAAAAAAAGAAAAAAAAAGAUGUUGAGUCUUGGAUUGUAGCUAGUUCUUAAUGAACAAGUGCAGAAGGAACACAAGGCAUCAUUUAGUGUUUGCUGGCUGCACCAGCCUCUGCCGAAGCUCCUGAGCAGACUUAACAUAAAACCAUGCUUUGUUGGGUGGACAGCUUCUGGAGCAGUCUGUGAGAAGUGACAAAGCUGCCCAAAUGAUCUCCUGAGACAAUCUACUUCUAUAAAUAUUUUUGCUACAUCUUAUUAAAAGUAACAGCUGCCAAAAUAUAGUAGUAUUAAACAUUUACAGUACCUGUGGGAAUGGUAUUUGGCCUCAUGCUUUCCUGUUCAUUUGACAGUAAUUGCUGUGCUGUCAGGUAUUUUAAACUAGUUAAAUAAGGAGGCAGCAGAGGGUUUCAGACAUCAAUAGUUUAACAGCCUGCCAAUUUUAUUUGAAAGGACAUGUAUGUUAUUUUUGAUUUUGUUUUCUUUUAAUUGAGCUCUGUUAGAACAGUUCUCUCUCUUUUUUUUUUCAUUUUCUUAAAGCUACUGUAGGACAUGCUUAGAAGAAAUCCCAGAGCUUCCUCACUCCAUUGCUGCCAGCUUGGCAGGUCUUCCCCUCAGAAUGAAUAAUGAAAGCAAAUUAAUGACAGGUGUUCAAACUCCUGAAGUGGAUACUUCUGUGUACAAAAUGUCCUAUCAAACCCACACACAACUCCCCAAACAUGUUCUUACCUGUUACACAGGCAGCUUGACACAGUUUCUUACAAACAUACAGCUACAGGAAUACAGUAAUAGUUUUAUGGUCUAGUAUUAUAAAAUAAAUAACUUGAAGAUCAGAUAAGUGUGUUGAUACAAUGUGAAAAACAUACCCCAUAGAUGUAUAGAGAGUUCCCCAAACAGGAGCAAACACCCAGUUAGGUGGACACCAAGAUGGCUUCUGCAGAGAUUCAUACCACACCAAGAUU